UUCAUUGAACACCAAGUUGUUAUAUUUUCACAAGAACCCAACACAGCGUCCCCAAUCACUAGUACUCUAGUGUGGGAGUGCUUAACUGGCGCUCGAGCAGGGACCCACAUUGUUCACGGAAAUGGUGACGUGUCAAUAAUUCUUUAAAAAUAACUUAUUAAACAAAAAUAAUGAUGAAAACGCUAACAUUUUGUAUGAGCGUGACAAACGUUUUACUGGUAUACUGUUCAACAAAAGGAAUGAGCUGAGAUCGUCACGAACAAUUUUCAAUUUUUGUGCGCUGCUGCUAUUUGAGAGAGCAUAAAGAGAAGGAGAGAGAAAGUAAGGUAAAAAAAGAGCGCAUAACCGUACUUCAUUUGGGAACGUGUGCAAAUAAUUGCUGAGAGUAGUCCGUGCCCGCAGUGUUUGGAAGUGGUAACGAUUAGAAUCGCCAGAUCUUCUGAAGACGGCUCGAGAUCAGUUGAGCUGCAAUAGUAGAGAUGAACGCACUUACACGUAAUUCACGAUGCUCCAGCGCUAGAAACAAAUCGGUGGGAAGUGCCGUUACAAACGCGUCGCCGAGUCAUCAGAUGAUGAAAUAGCGAAUUUGGAAAAUUCAUUCAAAUAUUACUGAAGACCCGACACAUACAUAUGUAUGUAUUAAUUAUAAAGAUUUAAACAAUGCCUAUUAUUGUCACUCUGAACAAAAAAGCUAUGUAUGUUAAUUGACAAAAGUAAAAAACACGAUAAGUUUACAUUUUAGUGAGCUCAAGAAGUCAAAUCUUACGGCCCUCAAUAAAAUGAGCGAGAAUAAAUGAAGCUUUAAAACGGAAUGAAAAAUAUGCCAAAACGUAAAGGCGUCGAAUUACUCAAGUUUUUGCAAGCAUUUUCUACUUCGUAUAUGCUCGGUGCGCUAUGAGAGCUGAAAUAUAUGUACAAGAUCACGUUUUGAUAUGCUAUACUCUCUAUCACUUACUCUUUCUGUUUCCCUAUGAUCUCUCCCUCUAUGAGCGCACAAGCGAUUGCGCAGGAAAAUUGAAAUCUGUUCGCGACAAACACUACAGUCUCCUGCUACAUGUAUGAUCAUUUUUGUGUCGGUAUGCAAUCCUAUCAGCUCAUGUAUUCACAGCCACACUCCCACUUCUUCAAUUUUUUUUUUGCUAGGCUGAAUAUUCUGCCUUGAGUCAUGUACGAGCGCACUCUUUCACUCAACCCGUUUUCGGCUAAGCUUCUAUGUCACUCAACAUACAGUGGGCCAAAAAAGUAUUGGCACACUUGAAAAAUCGAACUUCUAAGAGCUGUAACUUUUUUUUGAACACAUAAAUUAAAAACGGCAUUUAUUAAAUCCAUGUUUUCUAAUAAUAUUUAACAAAAAAAAAAUUAAAUUUCUUGUUUGGUUCACUUGCACAAGAAAUUUAAUUUUUUUUUUUGUUAAAUAUUAUUAGAAAACAUGGAUUUAAUAAAUGCCGUUUUUAAUUUA